GUGGGGAAUCUUCCGCAAUGGACGAAAGUCUGACGGAGCGACGCCGCGUGAGUGAUGAAGGCCCUUGGGUCGUAAAGCUCUGUCAUCAGGGACGAACGGUCACGUCAGGAAAUGGGCGUGAAUUGACGGUACCUGAGAAGGAAGCCACGGCUAACUACGUGCCAGCAGCCGCGGUAAUACGUAGGUGGCGAGCGUUGUCCGGAAUUAUUGGGCGUAAAGCGCGCGCAGGUGGGAUCUUAAGUCUGUUCUGAAAGUUCGGAGCUUAACUCCGUGAUGGGAUGGAAACUGGGAUUCUUGAGUAUCGGAGAGGAAAGCGGAAUUCCCCGUGUAGCGGUGAAAUGCGUAGAUAUGGGGAGGAACACCAGUGGCGAAGGCGGCUUUCUGGACGAUGUCUGACACUGAGGCGCGAAAGCCAGGGGAGCGAACGGGAUUAGAUACCCGUGUAGUCC
rnacentral:rRNA from 1 species